rnacentral:rRNA from 1 species
AAAGAAAGCGUAAUAGCUCACUGGUCGAGUCGGCCUGCGCGGAAGAUGUAACGGGGCUAAACCAUGCACCGAAGCUGCGGCAGCGACGCUGAUGCGUUGUUGGGUAGGGGAGCGUUCUGUAAGCCUGUGAAGGUGUGUCGUGAGGCAUGCUGGAGGUAUCAGAAGUGCGAAUGCUGACAUAAGUAACGAUAAAGCGGGUGAAAAGCCCGCUCGCCGGAAGAC